GCCCCGGGUCUGUGCUGUGGUUCCAACUGUAACGGGGUGCGAAGGAACGGGAUUUCCUUUCCCUGUCCAUCCCCUCCGCCUGCACUUAGCAUCUUCAUCCCCCAUAUUCCCCAUCAGAGACCGACCUGGAGCGGGGGCCGGCAGCGGGGAGGAAGGCUGAGGCUUGUCUCCGUUUUCUAAGCAAAAAGGUCACUCCUGCCCACCUCCGAAAAAAAUAAAGGUGUUUUUUUUUUUUUUUUAAUUCAUGCAGGUCGGCAUGGGUCACAGCCUGCCAAGCUUCCCUCUGCGGUUCUGUGGCCUUUGGCACAUGCACCAAAGGUGCACCAGGACAGAUAGCACGAAAAUAGGACAGGAAGAUGGAAAUUGCACGAAAGAACAUCGCUUGCAAAUUCACCCCCAGCAGCAGGUCUGGUUUAGCUUUCAACUCACCCCCGAAUUCUGCAGCGCCAGAAGUGCCCACGUAGCGGCACAUCACGUGCGCACCAACCUUGGCACUCAGCACCUGAAGUGUGUCCAGGCACCUGCCUGCCUGCCUGCCCGGCACAGCUGAUCAGGACCGGGCUUCCAGGCGAGGAGCCAGGUGCCCCAAACCAGCCCUGCGCUGUGAGGCAACCAGAGAUGCAGGCACCCCUCCCUCAGGUCACCCAAGCAGGUGAGGGCACCCUGGGCGGGACACGGGCUGCUCCUGUGCUGUCAGCUGCUUCUGGUACGAUGCAAGGAGUUGCCACCCUUGAUCUCCAGUGGGGACUGACAAGGUGCAUCUUCACAGAAGAUUCUUGCUGGAUUUCACUUCUGAUUGCAGUUGUAUCAAAAAUACAGAAAUGCAGAAGAACAUCAUUGAACUGUGUAAGAAAGGGCUGAAAGAAAACAUGAGACAUCAACCCCCCAGGAAGGACAAGAGCAACUUUAUCAACAGGGAGAAAGAAAGACCUAAACUUCAAUAUACAAAAAGUGGAUAAAUGAAGGAAAAUCAAAUUUGAGGGAGAAAAGAUAUCAGCCAACUGUUACUGGCUCUUAGGGAGAAGAACAUGUGAUUUGACAGAUACGUUUCCCUGACGAGAAGAGUCAAGCUGUUUAGAGAAUGAAGUGCAGCACAUUAGGAAACACCAUUGAAGAUGCCACUUUACUACCAUCACCUUCAGAAGCGUGUCUUCCACUGACUUUGCUGAUAGCAAGUGGGCUGUUGCUACAGAAUACAAUAUUUUCCUCUGAAACCAAGAUCUGUGCUGACUUCAAUGGAAAAUUUCCUGCUAAUGGAGCAUAGGAUUAAAUGAUCCCUUCUAUAUCAUAUCUUGCCACUGGCAUAACUACAACGUGUAUGACUCUGGUUUUUUGCACCUCACAAGCUGGAAGAAAGCAACUCACUAACAGAAAUUUCAUGCCACUUGAAGACAGAUCCAUGUGUCUUCUUUUGUGUGGAAUGAUAAUAUUAACAGAGAAGGAUGCUUGAUUUCCUGUUUCUGACACUUCACCAGCUCCAGGAGGGAUUUUUUUUUAUUGAUGGUGAAGGUGCUAGAUUUCUAAAAAUCCCCUCUUCUUAAUUUUUCUACCAUCCUCUGAGUGCCUAGCUUGCAAGUGGCAUGCCAGAGCAGCAUACUUCCAGCCUAAAGGAUUAAAAGGGGAAGUGUAUUUUUGUGCUCAGCCUGAAUUUUGAGCAUAACCUGUUGUGGUGUUGAUGUGAGGGUCCCCGGGACAAGGCUUCUCAGCUUCUCAAGAGGCAAAGGGAUUUUUCAUAAAAUAUCAUGGUGACACAUAACCUAGAGGAAUAUGUUUGGGACUGCAGAUGCAUCUUCUGGGAUGUCCACUUGGCUGUACCUCCUGGUGCCUGAGUAUGUACCCUGAAUAUACUGACUAUUGGGGGACAGGUAAGCUGCAGGAUGAAGUGCUACCCUCAAAACCCUUGCUCAUAAAAGUGUAGUCUGCAAAAUCCUUUAGUAGCUCAUAAAACACAGCUAAAUUUCUGGGCUUACUUUCAUUAGCAUGUUCAGUGAAAACAAAAUUGAAUGGUUAUGCCCAGUGGCUGCUUUGUCUUUUAUUCAAAAUAUGACACACCAGUCGAUGAGAUAAGGAAGGAAACAGAGCUACCAUUUCUGGGAAAAAUCUAAACAAAUCCUAAUUGGCAAAUAACUUUCACCCAAUGCCAUGCUGUGAACCAGAAAGAAACACAACAGAAGGGAAAGAAACGAUAUACAGUCACAGAAUCAUCAGUGCUGGAAGACACCUUUAGGAUCAUCAGGCCUAACUAUCAAGCUGGCCCUACCACUGCAGCCCCUAAACCUCUAAACCACCCCCAGCACCAGCCCCAGGCACCUCUUAAACACCUCCAGGGAUGGUGACUGCACCACGUGCCUGGGCAGCCCAUUGCCUGUCUCAGCCCAAUGCCAUUUCCCCUGCUCCUCUCACUGCAGGCUCAGCAGAACAGACACAUUUUCUCAUCCUAUCGUGAGCCUUGUUGCGCUUUGCUGGACACGCUCAAUGUCCUCUUUCACAGUGAGAAGCCCAGAACUGAAUGCUGUAUUUCAGGUGUGGCUUCACCAGUGGUAGAACAGGGAGAUGAUCCCUUUCUUAGUCCUGCUGGCUACACUCUUGGUAAAAAUGUGAGUUUUUAUCAGCAACAAUUAUUUGCUAUAAUCUUGAAAAUAAAGGCGCUAGAAGGAGAAUCCCGUUAUGAAAGAGUGAACAGUGUAAGACAGUUUGAAUUUUUAAGUCACUGUCAACAAUUUCACCAAAACAAGAAAAAUAUCGCUGCCUCAAGGCCUGAGCAGAAUCUUUAGGAGUCCAGAGAGCUGACACACGUGUCUGAGAUUGGGUCCAUGAUGGCAAGGUGCCUGACUCCUGGUCCUCUGACCAGAACUUUUCAUUGUCCAGGGGAGUGUUAGCUAUCGUGGGCUAUUCUGGAAUGGAUUUUUUAUAGUUGUUUUUAUACUAAAAGGACAAGUCUUUCUAAUUUCCCAAGGAAUUACUGAAUGUCUUUUAAAAACUUUUCCACUUGCAGCUCUUGCCACUUAGAGCCACUAGGAAUCAUCAAAGGCUUUUGCCAGAAUGGGGAAGGAAUACAGCAACAGGGUUUGAGGUACACAUAGUUGCAAAAGCAAGGCCCUUGAAGUCAAAGAAAUGAAAAAAAAAAACCACCAUGGAUAAUGCUGUCAUUCUAUAAUCCCUCCCAGAUAUAAAGGUUUGCCCUCAGCUGUUUGAGUCAGUAAACAGGCUCUCAGCAUCAAGCCACUGAAAACAAAGCCUAGUGCAGUGAUGUGCUUAAAAGCAGCUUGUGCAUUGCACUUGAUCAGCACAUUUUUCCUCUUUAUCACUUGCAGAAAGCCUGACUGCUGUCUCUUGAGAGGCAAAUCAUUUAGACUGUGUCUAGGAGAGCUGUGAUCUAAGAUAAAUAGCUAUCAUCAGAGUGAUAGAGUGGCACAUACGAGUCAUGGAGCCUCAUGAUGGCAGUCUGAUUGCUAGUUUGGAAUCUUGUUUUAUCUGUGCUAGCAUAAGAACAAAUUUCUAUAAAUAUGUGGUAGAAAGGGUGCAAUUUGUUCUUCAUAUAAUACUUGUUUUAUGCUCUAGUGGAGCCAACUGAGUCACUGAGGUAUCAGCACACUGUGCUGAUACCACAGUGCUUUUUUAAAGAAAUAUUCUCACAGAAUCUUAAAUUGUGUAUGUCACUAAUUAUGUUAUCAUCAAAAUUUGUAAGCGAGUAUUAGCACCCUGCUUUUUGCAAACUGCAGCUUAAACCCAAGUGCCAAUAUAAGGUGGUCUCAAAAAACCAGGCUGCAGAGGAUUGAAGCUGGACUUUGCAAAACAGUGGGAAGAUUUUCCCUGGGUUCUCCUGCAUCUCAGUUGCUUCUUGCUUAAAUGUGAAGGGUACAAUCUUCCUCUCCCACAGGAACAAUGUGAUGGUGAAUUCAUUCAGUUUCUUGAAGCACCUAUAUCAUGGAACACAGAAAGAGUCAUGGAAAACAGAUACACCACACAAGCUGGGCUGAAAUAAUGACCAGUGAACAAGGCAAGAGACUUUCCUCAGAACAGCAUGCUGACAAAGGAAAUAGCUGCUCAGGAAAUUAUUCCUUCCCACCUGGGCACAGAGUGAUAUACCACAACCAGUGGGAAAAACCCCAAUCUUUUUAAGAUUUACAUCACACUAAAGAUUCCCAAAUGGUGUAAUACAGCAUCUAGCAGCUGCAAAAUGUCUUACCCCCCCCAUAUAUCUUAACUUUUGAGACAGUAAUUUUGUAAUUUUCCCAAAGUACCAUUAACAAUUUGAUUAAUGUUACUAAACACCUCUGUUCACACAGCCUUGAAAGAGUAAAAGCUGGAGUCUUCUACAAAGAUCACCCUGACUAAAAUGAACUUCUCAGCUGUGCUUACCCUGCAAGUCCAAAACUGUGCAUUUUCCCCUGUUGGAAGGAUGCUCACAGCUUUGCACUGGAAAAGCUGAGCACUAUGUGUUGCUCUAUCAGUACUAAUAUAAGGUUAUGAAUACUUGGGCUGCUUCUAUAGGAAAAUUUGAUAAACACAUUGAAAAUUUAUUUAGCCAGCUCCCAACCUUUAUCAUGUGCUUUCCCACAGUGAGUAACUAAGGGUCCCUUUUUUGUUUUGUAGCAAGGACCAAUGGGAAUUACAUUUCACAAAGGAUAAAAGAACCUAAACUGUUGGUGUCACUGCAACAGGAGAUGUGUGUUAUAUACAGCUCUGUCCUGGUAAUUGUGACAUUAGAGAUCCCAAACACCUUUGUCACAUUUUCAUUGGCAAAGGACUCAAAAACACACCAUCUCCUUAUUGCUUUUGCUGACUAAUAGUGUACAAAGAAGUAUCCUGCUUUGAUAUUCUUACAAAUGGCUCUAUUGAACAGCAGGGAGGGAAACAUUCCCAUGGAGAACUUAGCAUAAUGCUCAGUGCUGCCUGUGCUGCGCUCCCAACAAGUCCCAACAAGCUGCAGAGAGAAUAAGGCACUUUGUGGUGCCACAGAUGCCAGUGUUCAAAGUACAAACAUAAAAUGAGCUUUGUCUACAGGGAGAUGCAGGCAACUUCCUAAGUCUGUGUGGAAUCUGCAGAUAUUGUUUUCCUUUAGCUAGAAAGGCCUUAGCUGGUUUUCAAAGAAGAGUGAAUAUAUAAGCUGACGCCCCUUCUUCAUGUCUUCUGUAUCAAGUCCCUUGGCAAAGAGACAGCCCAAACCCAAAUGUCCUCCUCACAGCACUCAUGUCCCAGGAGUACCUCAUGGCCUGUGAGAUAUGCUACUGUGAGGUUCUCUAAAGCUCUUUUGCUAAAGUUUAUUUAAAACUUCACUGGAUAAAAUGAAGAAUCAGAGGUAGAGUAAUGCAGAAGGCUGCACACUGCACCUGUAGGAGGCAUGCCUUCUUUUCUGAAGACAAGGAACUUUAAUAAUUUCAUAUGAGGUAAAAACCACACCAACAUUUAAAAUAUGGCAAUGAGAGGGUUACUAUGGAAAGACAGCGUCCUGCAUACUGAUGAGAGUUUUGCAAUGCAGGUUUUAAAUGUUGGUUCAGUUUCCUUUGGUCUUCUUUAGACUCACUCAUAUAUAAAGUUAGAGAAGGAACUAAUGGCCAGUGGGGUUUUUUUUGUGUUUUUUUAGGUUUUCAGCAUAUGACAAAUGCUCUGUUUCUGGUAGAAAGCAUUUUUUUUCUUCUCCUUUUUGUUUGGCCCAUACUUUGUUUUCUUUCCUGGCAUAGGCUGAAAGGACAGAACAGCUCUUCUACUUCAGUUGCUGGAUCUGUGUCUGAUUUCAUUAAACAUCUGCAGAUUUACCAUGCCCCAGCUUCUCCAUGUAAACACUGUCUUGAGAUAUCAUUAGCUGAAAAGUGUGAAGAAAAGAAUGAGGAUACAGGAAGUGUGGAGAGCUGGCAGGGUUGUAUUUCUGGAAAUUUUAUUUUAAAUCAUUAUUAAAAAAACUUGUCAGUUUGUACAACGUAUUGGUUGCCCAAAGGCAUAUUCAGGAAGAGGGAGAUUUUAUUUAUAUGCAAUAUAAACUGUGAGGCCAGGGAGAGAGGCAUCAUAGUGUAUUCUUAACAAUGACAAAGAAGGGGUGGAGAAAGUCAGCACUGCUGAUAUGACACAUAGAGUAUUAAGUUAUAUUGUUUGCACUGGCCUAGGUAUACUUUCUUCUCUCUGCUGUAACUGAAAUAAUUCUUCAAAAUUCACCAGUAUUCCUAUUGGAAGCAGGUGGAAUUUAUAACACUGGAAAAAUUAAUUCUGGAAGAAAGAACUCUGAGUCUUUGGUGUGAAGCCAGUUACAGUUUGGAAAGCAGAGGCUGAAUUAUGGAGGAAGUGGUUUUUCUGCUGGUUUUGGCUAGUUUUUGGGGCUUUUUUUUGUUUGUUUUUAUUUGUUUUUAUUUGUUUGUUUGUUUUUGUUUGUUUGUUUGUUUUUAAUUUAAUCUCCAAUGCAUAGAGCUGGAUCAGAGCAGCUACCUCUCAAAAAUCUUCCUUGAAAGAUGAACAGGACUGUAUAUACUCCUUUGGAUGUUGACAUCAGCUACCCCUGCUAAGUUUCUACUUUGCAACCUCAUCAUGAAAUUUCACACUGGGUUAAAUUCUGGCAUGAUUCAGAAGAAGAUGAGCCAGGAAUUAAUGAAGAGGAAGAUUCAACAGCAUGAUAACCAGAAGUUAAUGCUACUACUGCUUGAAAAACUGGGGUAGGGGAAAAAGAAGAAAGGGAAAUGUUAUGAGCAGAAGAUAUUUGCUAUUCUUCAUUUCUUUAUAAUCUAUUCCUUUUAACUUCAGUUCUCCAAAGAGAUAUUUUUAUCAGUCCUUAUUGUUAGCAACAUCAGUUGUUUCUGUGAUUUUCUUACAGUCUAGUUAUGAAAAAAAUUGUGAAGUUUUUGAAUAUCAACUGCUACCUAGAGCCAAAUUUUGCUUAUAAAGCCAGAUAGAUGAAAAUGCCAGAUUCAAAGGCUGAAUACAGAAGAAUUUGUUUAAUUGUAAGUUGAGCUCAUCCAAAACAAAUGUUAGUAGAGCAGAUCUUAUGUUUCCUCAAACAACAUAGGCAUUCUCCUCUGUUAAGCUGUCUUGCUACAUCUCUUCUACCACUGCAUAGUUAAAAAAAAAAAAAUCUUAUUAAAAAAUCCAGCAAUUAUUUCCUUGGGAAUAUGCAUUCAUUACAGUGAUUGCAUAGUACUCUGACUGUGUGUCCUUUUGCUCUUUACUUGCUCUCCAAGGAGCUGGGAUUAGUGUUAACAUGACAUCCCAGCUAGCUCAGCAGCUAGUCCUUUAUUACAGGUUCUGCCCUGCAUCUGAGAUGAGACUGCAUGUCUUAUUAAGCACUGGCCUUGUGACGCAUGCUAGUAAAGUCAUAAUUUUUCUAUUUAUAAAAGAAAGAACAAAUUAUCUUGUCCUGGAGUUCUCUCAUAACAAGAUUUUGCUGUACAAAAUCUAACUAGUUUUCUCCCUCCAUCACUCUUCUUAAGUCUCACCUAAAAGGCCACUAAAGUGAUUUGUUAAAGGCUUGUUAACAGAUGUUCCCUUCCUGUGACUUUCCCCUCGUGGCUGUUGUGUGAAAUAACUUUCUGUAAGAGAAAAGGAAAUUAAUCAUGAUUAUUUUUCAAUGCAUCUCACUCAUCAUAGGAGCCAUCAGUGUUUAUCAUGUAGGCCCUACAAUCACCAGUGAUGACAAAUGCAAACUAAGCCAUCACCUAAUUUUGAGGCUCAUUUAUCUCUUUAUCUCUAGGAAAAAUUACCUGUCUGGAAAUAGAGGGAUUUUUCAUUUUAUACAUAAGACAGGCAAUUGUAGCUGAAGUACAACAGAGCCUUGGGAAGCAUAUAAACAUGGCUUAUUUGCUCCUCCUCAAGAUGUUCUAGCACUUAUAUACAUAAGUAAUACAAGGUAACAAGUGAACAUUUCUGCAUACCCAGUGCUGAAGCAAAAGUGUGUGCAGAACUGGUGGUUCUCAUCAGGAUCCUAAAUACUCAGUCUCUGCCUGUUCAGGUUGUAACAAACUGCUCUGUGAAUGGUUGGGCUGUGUGACCUCUGUACCAUGGCUGGGUGCUUUUUUCCCCCAACAGAUUGUCUGUGUUAUCUUCAACAUUCUUAAGAGUGUUUUCUGAUUAGAGAUCUAACAUUGCCAGCUGUAUCUUCCUGAUAACCUCAACAUGCUCUGCGGUCACUGAACAGGUCACAUGCACGUUUUACGUGUCCAAAGCUUACUAAUAAAAUUCAUGUCUGUACUGCUUUUGGCAGCACCUUUUAUUAAUACAUAUUCAUAUAUAUUACAUACAUACAAAAAUAUAUUUUUAUUAAAAAUAUGGUAGUAGUGAUCUCUUCAGGUUAUAGUUCAGAGGUAGCCAUAAGUAGAUAGUGUGACCACAAAGGUAGGGGCUUUUUAAGACAUUCCUUGAGGAGAUGUACGAGAGAAGGAGUGAGCAGCAGUCUCCUACUCUGCCCCUCCACUGCCUGCUCUCUGAGAAAUGGUGUUCUGGAAAGGAAACUGAAGCCACCCCUCCUGCCAGUGGCUUGCCAUGUCCCACCACCAUGUCAAAAGUCACCAUCUGCAUCUUCACCUCUAGCUCAGACACAUAACAUGGCACCACAAAUGCCAGCCUCUACAGUGACCAGAGGCCCCUUCCUUCCUCCCCUGAGGCCCAGGAGCUGUGCAUUCAUUUAAAAGGGAGAUCAGUGAGUGGUUUGUGUGCAGGUGGCUCUCGUGUGAGAGUUACUUUGCUUGGGACAGGGUGUUGUGCCAUAGCCAGCUGUCAUCCCAUUGCUACAGCAGAGAUCUGGAGUGCUGGUGGGUCAGCUCCUGAACAGCUGCAAUUUGCAGCAUGGAUUUUUUCUGCUUUAUAACAAAGAUCUGUCGCAGUUUUCAGGUUUGGAAAGGACAAGAUGGGUUCAAUGCACCAACUGUAUCCAACUUCAAGCUGUGUGAUGAGAGAAAAGACACAAGCAGCUCACUAAUCCUUCUCUCAGGCUUCUGCAUCCGUUAUGUUCCUUCCAGUCAGAUGGAAACAAGAUGAAAUUUUGGAAGACUCAAGUGGUAUUGAAAAGAGAAGCGGUGCAGGAGCACUGCCCAGAGGAAAAAAGAUGGAAGCACACCUAAAACAGGGAGAUGAAGAAAAGGAACUUUGCUUAGCUUUCUUUCUCCUGUCUGAGAGGCCUCAAGAACCUUCCUCAAGAUUCACAUCUAUUGGACAAGCUAUUCUUAACAGGAAAAUUGAAGGACCUGCUCCAGGAAUUAGGUAUACGUUCCAGCUUCCUGGCAAUAAAUAAUAGAAAAGGAUCUGAGUGAAGGUACCACUCAACACAUAGGGUGUUUUCUUCCUUAAAGCCAGGAAGCCCAGUCUAUAUUUUCUGCUGCACUGCAGUCAUGGUGUAACCACAGUCACUAAAAAAUUACCACACAGCCACUGGCUCUGUUCCCACCCCCAGUGGGAUGGGGAGAAGAAUCAGAAAAAGAUUAAACCCAUCAGUUUAAACAAGAACAGUUGAAUAAUUUCAUUAGAAUAUAAUUAAUAAUAAUAAUCAUCACCGUUAUUGUAAUGGAGAGAAAAGGAGAGAGAGAGAGGGAAAAAUAAAAACAAAGAAAGACAAAUGAUGCACAAUACAAUUGUCAGCACUUUCUGACUGAUGCCCAGCCCAUCCCCAAGAAGUGAUCAGCCCUCUUGACCAACUCCCCCAGUUUAUAUAUUGAUAUUCUGUGGUAUGGAAUGUCCCUUUGGCCAGUUUGGAUCAGUUGUCCUUGUCAUGCUCCCUCUUUGCUGUUCUGUACCUGCACACUGGCAGAGAGGAUGGGAGCCUGAAAAGUCCUUCACUUAGUCUAAGCACUACUGAGCAACAAAAAUCCAAAACACAGCACUGUAAUUUAAAUUAAUUUUGUCCCAGCCAAACCCAGGAUGUCCACUAUUGUGAUUUGAAGUAUCGUUACUCCUUCAGAAACAUUGGGAGGCUGUCUUUUAAUUUCACUUGGCAGAUCACAAACUUUAUUAUAAAAUUUGUCUAUUAAAAUUGAUGAUUUCUUUAUUUUUUUAGUAAGUGUUUAUUGAUUAUAAUUUCUAAUUUUCUCCUGUUCAUUCAACUCUGUCACAGCUGUGUUUUUUGGUCAAUAUCCACUUUCUAGUAGCUAAUCAACUUCUACUUGCAAAGUUCAGAUUUUAUUGAUUGGCUUUUUAAUGGCUGUUUUCAAGGAAAAAAAAGACUGUAAACAUUUCAACAAAUAUUUUUAAUACAAAACUAAACACUCCAAAACUAAAUCCAAAUAAACCUCAGCAAUCCUGAUCACCAUGUAAUUGUUUGGUGGGCAUUAUUCUUAUUUUCAUCUGAACUCUGCCCCCCUGCCCCUUGUGCUUUUGCCCAGCCUAGAAGCCUCUUGAGGUUGUGCAGCUCUACAGUUCAGGUAUGGAUGGGAGGGCUGCAGUACCACUGCAAAGACAACACUCAUCAGUGCAGUAGUUCUGUAAUACAGCUAUAGAGAAAAUAAGAAUAUUAGCAGAUCUCUCACAACUCUCUCAGUAUUGCGGGGUUAUGCAUUAGAGCAGUGUUAUCUGCAGGGGUUCUAUUUGAAAAAACUGAAGUCCGAAGAAAAAACACAGAAAAUCAGAUUUUAAAAGAAGCAGCUUUUAGAAGAUGUAUUUCCCUAAACAAACCCCAAGAUAAGAUGCCCUGUAUUUGAAAAUAAAUAGGAAUAGAAAAUAACCUACCAGAAGUAGACCCAUUUUUGGUAAAAAAACCUCCUCUAGGUCAUCUUGUAAAGUCAGAUCAGGUUUACUUCAAUAAGAGAUAAAAAGUCAUUUUCAAGGUCAAUAGCAUCUUGUUUAAUAGAACCCUUGAUUGAUGCCUACUGGUAGCUGGCAAUAUGAUGUGAGAUGAAGGAAUUCAUAGUACCCAUGGGAAAUUUUAAAACAGUGUCAGCUUUCUCAGAAAUGACAUAGUAUGCUUGUAGAAAAGUUAGAGGAGCAAAAAAAUCAAUAACCACUACUGACCCCUGCAGCCAAACCAAGCCCAUCAGAGGAUCUUUGAAAAAAACCAAUCACCAACCAGCCAAAGAAUCUUCUGGCUCUGCCUGUUCAUUAAUCUUAAUAAACCAACCUGUCUGGAUCCUUUGAAAAUCCUAGAUACCUCAUGCCUGUGACAUUACUCACAUGAGUAGGAAAAAAUCUCCUGUGUCCAGGAUCUUUAUGGAGUACUUAAAUGAGUAAGAACACAUGUUAUUUUAUAAACAAACAAUCUCAGAGUGGGGUAGAUAUAAACAAGGUGGGUGAAAGGAGAGUUAUGACAAACAGGAGAUGGGUAUGAAUCACUGAAAGUCAUGUGAUGGAAACGCAAGUCACAUAAGAAAGAAUUUGAAGCUUCCAGAAGAAGAAAGCAGAGAAUGCUUAUGACUAUUUGCAGAUUUCAAAGUAAUUCAUCAACAUUUCCCUCUCCUCUUCUGUUUUUGAAGCAAUCAGUCCUUGCCAAGAACAAGUGGAGUGGCCCUUUCGUUAAAAAGUCAUGAAGGAAGCUGAGAUCAGCUGUGGUUUGCUGAAACAGUUGCUAGUUUUCACCCCUGAGAUGAGCAAAGCCUUAGGGAAAAAAAGCAAGUUCUUGAUUAUAAAAUACAUUAUUUUCACAGUACAGGGACUUAAUUCAUAUCAACUGCUCUGCUCAAGGGCUGGAUGUUAGAUCUAGAUUCUAUACAGCUUUGUGUGGAGCCUAGAAUAGUGGUGACAUGCUGUUUGCAUAAUUAAAAAACCUCUGCUAUUUUUUUGUCCUAAAAUUUCAGCUCUUGAAAUAAUGCGAUUAAGAACAGACCUUUUUGUUUUCUCAACAAAACAACUCUUCACUGUUACGGUUUCAGAGAAAUAGUUAAAAACAGGAACCAUGAAUGUUAAGUACAGAAUCUGGUAAGACAAAGUACAUGAUUUUAAUAAACUACUGUAGUUUUUUAAAUAAUCUAAUAUAAUUUGAUGAUCAGUAUGAGGUUUGUCCAGAGCAGCUUGCUCUGGCUGACCUUGCUUCAGCUGGGGUGUUGACUAGCUGAUUUCAAGAGAGGCCGUCUGACUUCAAUGAUUCCGUGAUUCUGUGUUUGCAAUGUCAGAGUCUUCAUUAUAAUUGUAGAAGGGUUCAUCUUUUAAAUAGCAAAAAAUUCCUAUUGUUUUCUGUUGCUAUGUGCCAGUCAUUUCCCAAAUGUUUCUCCCUGUAGUAGUGUGUGAAUGGAAUACCCUCACAUACAAACACAAAAACAGACAGUCCUUGCUCUUAUCUACUCUGUAUGAAUAAUGACUUAGGUAUGAUAAAAAGUAGAAUUGGAAUUUAUUUUAAGUACCUGUGUCAGAAUGAUAAUUUGAGCCAAUAUGAAGAUGACAUUUCAUUAAUUAAGUCAGGGACAAGUUGAAAAGUAUGCAGGUGCCCAUCUCGUAAUUCUCUCAAAAGAAUGUACUUCUGAUGUGUCACAUCUCCACCCAGGAGGUAGGGAAAUCUGAGAAAUAAGCCUUCAUAUGCAGUCCCCCACUUCCCACUGUGACCAAGCCAGUGUGUGGAUGUGUGAGCGCUGUGGUAUUUCAGAAGACUCUUAGGAUGCUGGCACCAUUCCUAAGCAGCCAUGUGUGAACAUGCCUUGAGUACAUCACCUACAGAGCCUGAGCAUUGUAAACCUGAAACACAGUAAGAGAUCAGUAGAAUCAAUUGGACUUUCAUUCUGUGGAAAAGAAAAAUCAUAGAGUAUUACUUGCAUUGAGACAAGCAAUCACACUUUGCCAUUUGUUUCAAAAGAUAUCUUUCAUGGUGUCUCUUAAGUUGCUGAAGCCAGUGUCUUCCAGAGCUAUAGUGAAACUGUAAACAAUAGUCCAACAUGUAUCACUAGUUUUAGAGCAGCUCUUUCCAGCAUUUACUUUCUGGUCUGAGCACUGCAGGACUGAGAGUAGUCUACUUACCUUUUAUUAGUCAGAUUUCAUGUAUUUUACCAGGAAGACUCAAAAUAUUUUUUUUUUUUUUAAGAUAACAGCAUGGAGAAUUGUUUUGAAUGCAAACCCCUCUACGAAGGACACUUGAGACUGUAAUGUACUUUUGGAGGACAAUGGAAAGAAAUCUUAUUAAUACACUUUUUUUUUUUUAAGUUUUCCUUCAUUAGGAGCAGUUACAAUAUGUUCAAUAUACUGACUGUACAGCAAAGAAAUCCUGCAGGAGAGAGAACAAUAAAUCCAAUUACGAAAGACUUGGAGUUCAGAAUCCAUAGGUAUCAUACCGAAACUCAAGUUCCUACACAAUACUGUGAGAGAAUAGAAUACAUUAAUUGAAGUUGCUUCCACCCUCUUUUUUAUGGAAAUCCUAAGCUAUUACAAAACUAGUCCUAUUUGUAAAACAACUGAGUGUCAAGGGCACACCAAUGAAUCAUCACUCUGCCAGAACUGAUACCAAGAGAAGCUAAUCUGGAACAGAGAAUAGAUGCAGUUAAAGGAAUGAAGUAGGUAUUUAUUAAAAGCAUCAGAACCACAAACCUCAGGAAUGGAUGGCUUGCAGGGAGGGGGAAGCAGUAUUCACGAAGCUGUGAGGAUUAUUUUGCACUUGCUGAUCAUCUUUAAUGGAUGUAUUUUACCCCUUCUCUCAUUCAAAAUGAAGGAUGUUAUUUCAAAUUCUCAAGUUCAACUAAAUAACAUCACAGAAGGAAAGGUGACAAGCUGAGAAAAAAUGUCAGUCUCUAUCAGCAUUCUCACUAGCAGUUCUCCUUAUCUGAAAAGCUACCCAAACUGUAUCACACAACUGAUUGCACUAAUAAUUAGUUAUGUCCUUGCUGUGUUAGUUUAAAUGCUUAUUGAAGUUGGCCACAAAAACCUUACAUCUAAACAAAAGAGUCCUUAGCUUAUGGACUGUUUGCAAAUGAAUGUGUGUCUGGGACAUCAAGACUAACAUUUCCUUCAUGUAGUACUCUGUGUAUUGCUGUGCUUCAACAUGGAGAAUAUACAAAACUGACUUAGCUGGUACCUCAGUAGCAAGUCUGUGGCUGGAAAUGCUACUUCUCUGAGCCUUCCAAUAAAAUUUUCAUAUUCAGCAUGUGGAACAGCAUCAACUUCAUCUGGCUCUUCCAACACAAAUCCAGCAAGGUGAAUGCAAUGAUCUCUUUGAAAACCAUUGUCUAUCAAACAAUAGGUUGUUUUUCUUGACACAUUCAAUCUAUCUGUAUGGAAAGUUUUGCACAAUGACAUCUUCCUUAUUUUCCACUCAUCUAGUGGGAAUGUUAAUGCAUUAUCAUUUUACUGAAAAACAGAGCAGAUAUUCUAGCUGCAAGGAUAACCUUGUUCUCUAAACUGCUUAAACUCUUUUUGCGUGUCCUUUUGCCUUCAGAAAACAAAGCAGCAUAAAUGAACAAGGACCACAACAUUAAACAGAACGUUUGUCUCUUGUUCUGUCAUAUUAAUCAAGUGCUAACAAUGCACUCAUAGUAAAUAUUUACAAAAUGCUUUCUUUCUCUGGUAUUUUGGGAACACAUUCUAAUUGCUGAUACCAGCCAGGAAGGAUGUCACUGAUCUUCUUACCCAUCCAGGCACACUGCUGGCUCAUGUCCAGCCAGCGAUCAACACAAACACACAGCUCCUUUUCUGCUGGACAGCUUUCCAGCCACUCUGCCCCCAGCCUGUAGCUCUGCCUGUGCUUGUUGUGAUCCAGGUGAAGCACCCAGCACUCUGCCUUGUUGAACCUCACACCACGCAUCAACCCAGAUCCCUCUGCAGAGCCUUCAUACACUCCAGCCGAUUCAACACUCCAGCCCACUCCACUUGGUGCCAUCUGCAAACUGGCUGAGGGCACACUUGAUCCCCUCAUUCAGAUCCCUGGUGAAGACAUGAAACAGGACUGGCCCCAACACUGAGCUCUGGGGAGCACCACUGGUCACCAUCUGUCAGCUGGAUGGAACUCCAGCCACCGCCACUCUCUGGGCCCAGCCAUCCAGCCAGGUUUUAUGAAGUGAACAGUGCACAUGUCCAAGACAUGGACUACUAGUUUCUCCAGGAGAAUCAUGUGGGAAACGAUGAGAAAAAUUUUGCUAAAUUCCAGGCAGAAAACAUCUACAGUGUUUCCUUCAUCCACUAAACGAGUCACUCUGUCAUAGAAGGAGAUCAGGUUGGUCAAAUGGGACAUGCCUUUCCUAAACCCAUUCCGGCUGGGCCUGAUCCCUCAGUGUCCUGUGUGUGCUCAAAAUGACACUCAAAAUGAUCUGCUCCAUGCUUACAAUGACACUCAAAAUUAUCUGCUCCAGCAUCCAGGUCUGGCUGAUAGGUCUGUAGCUUCCUGAAUCCUCCUUCUGACCCUUCUUGUGUAAAUGGGGGUCACAUAAGGCCCAGUCAACAGAGACCUCCCUAGUGUGUCAGGACUGCUGGGAAAUGAUGGAAAGUUGCUCCAUGAGCUCUUUCACCAGCUCCCUAACCUGUAUCCUGCUGGUGACCACACAGACAAUGAGGAACAGCAGAUAUAUCAGGUCUUACUAUUCCAGAAUGAUUUUGAAAGUAUCACAGAGGUGACGUACAGAAAAAGAUAAAAGAUAAGAAAGUAAGUAUACUUUUUGACUUUGUUUUCUCCUUUAACUAGUUAGCAAAUUACAUCCAUUUUAUUUUCUCUAGAAUGAAUUUUCUGCACAGGAAUCAAAAUUAACUCUAAAAGAAGGUAGCUACACUUUAAUUGUAAAAACUUCUUUUUCAGGGCAGGCAGGAAGCGGGAUGAUUUCUGGGCAUCUGUGAGUCAUAGCAUGCAAACAGAAGACAGAUGGGCCUGCUUACUCAGCAGAACUUUUUUAUAAUUCAGUGUAACUAUUCUUUUAGGUUUUUCCUUAAUUACAUUUACAUGAGGUGAAAAGAAUAACAGGUCCUAGGAUGUUUGACUUGGAUUUGCCUGAUUUGCAAAACUAUAACAGACAAAUAUUUCAGAAUUCCAGAGGCCAGGAUCAGAUAAAGCCAGAGAUUUAAAUAGGCCCAUGCUUAGUACUCCGUUUCUAUGAAUCACAUUUAAAAAAUUACAUUAAAAAGAGGACUAGAAAAGCUUGGACUCAGUGCUGUUUGUACUAAAAAUCUGCUAAAACCCUGUCUGUCACUGUAGCUUUAAAUAUAUAUUUUUAGUAGUAUGUUUUACUAGCCUCAACAGUAUCAACACACCAGAAAGCCAUGCAUGCACAGAAGAGCUGGAAGCCCAGGAAUAAGGUUUAAAUGUUAUGAUUUUCCAUGAGCUGAAAGGACCUGACCAGUUCAACUGCAGUGGAAAUGGAUUGCUACUGCCUAGCCCUGCCCCAAGGCCCAAGUUUUUGGCUUGCAAAUGCUUCCAAGAACCUAGGCUAUUACUUAAUAUCCUAUUAUCUAAGAGCAGUAUUUUUGUAUUCUGCUCAAUGUGCUGCAUGCUCCUCCCAGAAACACAAAACUAGCUUAGCUCCAGUUUGAGGGAAGAAAGGCUGGAACAUGCAAUAAAAAGUCCACUGGGCAACAGAUCCCCUUCCUCUCUUUGCAAGUCCACACCUAGACACAGACAUUUUGAUUUUCUUCUAAACCCAAUACCUAAGAUAAAAAAAAAAAAAAAAACCAAACAAACAACAAAGCCAAACUACCUAUGAUUUUUUCCAUGCUAUCAGGGGGUAAUAAAUUCAUUUUGUUAUCUGGAUGAUGUCUAGGAACAAUGAAAAUAGGAAGCCUCUGGACUGCAGCUGUGCUGAUCUUCAGCUCUCUUCAGAGACCAUCUAUGGCAGCAGGGCUAGAGACUUAAAUAGUAAAGAUUCUUCACAAACCACAGGUGCUGUAGCAGUUAGAAUUUUGACAUACAUAAAUACUGCAGAAAAGAAAGAAAUAGUACCUACAACUUGGCAAACUUUCUGGGCUAGGCUUAUUUGGAGUUUGUUGAGUAUGCAGUCUUAAAUGGAUGGCCCAUGAAUUCCUGUUAUCUGUUUUUUUAGCUUCUAUGAAUAAAUAAACCACAAACCAUGAAAAGAUUAGCAGUGUUUUCUCACUGUUGAUAAGUCAGAAUCCAGUCAACCAGCGUAGUACUCCAAGUUUCUGAUUAAAAGGCUCUCAAAGACUUAACUGACAGAAAUUUAGAGUCCCUUCGUUUCACAAUGGAACAAAUCUCCUUCUGAGAGGAUGAUAAGAUAAACUGUAGUGCUUGGCAUAGUGCCAUUCAGCAGACAUUUAGUCAGUACCAGCUAGGACUCAGCAAACAGUCAGUCUUGACUGAGGUUUUGAGGUUUUGCUCUGUAUUUUAUCAAAUCCAGAGUGUGCGGAACUCCUGCGAGAAGUCAGAUCCUCCAACUUGUCAGCAGAACAAAUACUCCACAGUUGCUCUAUUGCUGAGUGAAGCUCUCUGGAGGAAGGGAAGAAAGUUCAAUCUUUGUUCAGGCAGAAAGUUUGGACCCCUCCACAGAUGCAGCUGGGGCUGUACGCUGCCCUGCACAGCUGCAUCUGGCCUAGGCAGGCAGCUGGGAUCUGCCAGUGUAGGAGCACAGAAAAUACCGAUGACUAAUACUUGCCACUCACACCCUUGCAUUACUUCCAGCUUGACUUAGACAAGACUGCCCUUUUCUGAUAUUUUGUCUUGCCAUAUUCUCAGUCACUUCCAGAGGGAAACGUAUCUGACAUUAAUUUCUGUUAUUUAGCAUUUGAUCUUUUGACAAAAGCCAGCAUUUGGUCCCCAGCAGGCAGUUUUAGGACAGCUGAACUGCUGUCUAAGCAGUCACAGAGGAGCUGGUUAUAUCACAUAAAAGCCUUUUUGUGUCAUGACUAAUUUCAGAUCCUCCCUGUUUCUUAUGCAGAUUCCAGCCUUGUUUCCUCAUGCACAGAGAAUUAAAUUCUAUGCCUGCAUCUCCUUCUGGCUUCUCCUCUGGGACACAAACUUAUUCAGACAAGCUCAGGAGGCAAUAGAAAGACAUCACCAACAGCACUGGCUACCCACCCUGCAGGACUCCUUUGCAUUUCAGUGCAUGACUGCCCAUGGCACUGUAGGGCUCCAGGAGCCAACCUUCUUCCUAUAACUGUACUCUAGCUGGACCACAAUGUCAAAAUCAGCAACUCCUCAACUCUCUGUUUUCUCCACCCAGAGAAAUAUCUAAACUUCCAUAUCAUUACACUGUUCUUUCCACCACUGCAGUACACACUGCAAGGGAAAUGAUACUAACAGCCCUCCUCUGGGAGCCAAACUCAGGAAACCAACUUCUUUUCACCAAUGAAAUGCACAAGAACAGCCAUGUAUUUCUGUGUCAUGAUCUGAAAAAAAGCUCUCUGGGCUGGGGAGGGAACCUCGUGAGCUGGCUCAUCAGUAUCAUGGAGCACAAAGAUAUAGAGUGUCAUGCGCUCCUAAACAGAUGAAGUGAUGAACCACAAGAAAGAUGCUAAAGCAGAAAAUACAGUGCAAUGCUGAAAACUAUUUUUUAAAGGAGAAUGUUAAAGUUUUCAAAGGGAAAUAAGAACUAUGGCUUCCUACACAUCUUUUCAAACACCACCCCCACUGAGGGGACAUUUGACUGUUUGGAUUCUUUUGUUCCUCAGACCAUCCAUGACUAGCAAUGUGUUCAGUUCUCUUGUGCAUGACAACAGAUAUAUUCUGGGUAUUCCCAUAUUUAAAGCACUGUAAGUUUCUCACAGCCAUGAUUUUGCAUUCAUGUUAAUAACUAUGUUUUUUUUCUAGAUCAGUGUCUUCCUGUCUUCAUGAACAGGCACCAAAUUGAGCAUCUUUCCCAACACAUACAUGACUUGAGUUUCUUUUGGUCUCUUAGUCCAUAGCCAGGCUACGCUCUGACAAAGACCAUUUUCUUUCAAACUGUGCUAGGGCUUGCAGCAUAAAUUUAAAAGCUUUAAUCACAAAAUGGUUUAGAUGGGAAGGAAUCUUAAAGAUCAUCUAGUUUUAACCUCUUGCAAUGGUCAGGGACACCUCCUGCUACAUCAGGUUCUCCUAGGCUACCCCUUGUCAUCUCACUACACUCCCUGAGGAGGAGUUCCUCCCCCUCUUUCCCAUAGCCCCUUUAAGGCCAAGGGCAACAACAGUACACUUCAUAACAUACUGGAGCAGCUGCAACACAGGACUAAAAUAGUUUAUUCCUGUCAGACUGUAGAUGGCUGAAGUUGCCAACAGCAUUUGCCACAGCAUCUUAAUGAAGGAGAUCUAAGCAAGGAAUACAGAGAUGGUUUUGUUUCAGCAGUGGAGCUCAAAAGAUUUUGCCCUGAUGCGAUGCAUCUUGUGUGCAUGUACAAAAAUCAUUAUGAAUAAAAUGCCUUCACAGAUGGCUCCUAAA